ACACAUAAAACAAAGGUGUAAACUGAAAUCAAUCAAGGUUGAGAACCACUGUAAUAAAGAAUAAAAAAAAAUGAUGCUGUGUGGGAGUUCAGGUUGCUGCUACCCAUGCCUGCCACACACAGGAGUGCGUCGCUACUGUAGGUCUGAUCUCUUUUUCUGUCUCAUCCAAAGUAUGUUUCAGUUAUUAUUAGUCGUCAAUUAUUAAUAAUGAUUCUUAUUAUUAUCAAUAAUGAUAUAUUUAUAAUAAUAAUAGUUUUUUUUUUUUUUUUUUUUUUUGAUGAAUCUAGUAGUGGGAAUAUCAUGACAGUCAUUUCAAUAGUAUUUGUAUUUCUAGCAGGUGGCAGCAAUCUUCCAAUUAAGCAUGGCAAUUUUUCCAUUAAUUAUCUCUAUAAGUAAAAAUGGAAAAAAAAUGCAGAUGAAAUUAGCUAACUAAAAAGUGAGCAAUGUUACAUGUGUUUGAAGAAAAUUAUGUAAAAAUAAAAAAAAUCGUUCUACUCUCUGGGGUCAGCCAUCAGGAGUUAAAAGGGAUGUGUUUCAAGAUGCACCAAUAUACAUAGCAGUCUCCAGACCGCUGAGAACACGUUAGUUAAAUUUCAUUUUCGAAAGAUGUCCCGGAAAUUAGUGGAAAAGUCCUAUUUGUUUGUGCUAAUCAUUUUACGCAGGACUGCCUCACAAACGAGGCUCAGUUCAGUGCAGGAGAUGUUCAAAGAUUGAUUCUGAAAGAGGGAUCAAUAGCAACGCUUCGUGUGCAAGCAUCAGCUCCAGACAAAGAAACAUGUCCUCACUGUGUGCAAGUGCUGGAAGAGCAGGAGACUGAAAUCUGCAGCAGGGAGCCAAGGAUAAAAAAAGACCUGCACACUGCAGUUGGAUGGCUGCAGAAAAACCUCUGUGUCUUCAGAGGUUUGGUGAAAAAGCUGAGGUUCCUCCAACUGAAAGAGGAAGACCAGAAGAAAGCUCUUCAUCAGCUUUCACAGGCUGAAAUGGCUGACGACCAGCAACUGGCCAAAGAACAUUUAUAUGUUAAUAUAAUAUAAUAUAAUAUGGACAUAUUUCUCGAUGAGUGCAUGGACAAAAGGGGCCUCAAAAUUAAUGGCAUGUUUCUUGAGUUUUGAUUUAUUUUAGUUUUAUUUUAUCAAUUUUGAUAAUUAUUGUUAAAUGUGUGCCUGCUUUGCUUUAACAUUUGUUUGUUUUAUUUUCUUUGGUUUAAUUUAUUUUUUAAUGUCUUUUGCUGCUUAUGUAUGAUAAUGUGCAUAAUGGAAAAAUAAUUGUAAAAGAAAAAAAAUAAAUAAAUCAAAUGUUCAAAUCCUCA
ensembl:lncRNA